rnacentral:rRNA from 1 species
AUGGCUAUACCAUUACCAGCACAUGAAAUGGAAGACUUCGUUGCAUGGAGUUAUAACAAAGGUGGAUUUUUCUCUGUCCGCUCAGCUUACCACGUGGAAUGGAACCAUCAACAUGGAAGGAAACUAAGACGAACAAAUGGUGUUGAAGCUAUGGGUCAUAAUAGAAUCUGGGACAAAAUCUGGAAAUUGCGAUGUCCUGCAAAGGUGAAAGUAUUUCUUUGGAGAACACUCAGGGGGACUCUUCCGUGUAGGGUUAAUCUAGCAAACCGCCACAUCAAAAUAUCAGGACAGUGCCCAGUCUGCAACUGUGGAGCUGAGGAUGUGACACAUCUCCUGUUUAGAUGUAAGAGAGCAACAGAAGUUUGGCACCUCCUGGGACUUGAAAUAUUUAUUAAGAAAGCAUGUGGUGUGGAUAGAGAAAGGAAUUGGAAACUGGAGCAUUGUGCUGAUGCUCUGUCGGCUGAAGCAAUGGCUCUAAAGAAGGGCCUAGAUUUGGCACAGAUGAUGGGAUGCAAUAAACUGAUGGUGAAUUCAGAUAAUCUAGAGGUGGUGGAAACGAUGAAUAACGGCGGUCGCUCAAUGGGAGUAGCGGCAACUAUUUUUGAUGAUUGCUUCAAUCUGGAUUGCGAGUUCCCUCGAUCUUAUUUUGAUCACUGUAAUAGAUUAGCAAAUUCAGUAGCGCAUAAGCUAGCUAGUAUGGCUAUGAGAGCUCAUUCUUCUCUGUGGGUGGACAAUGCACCGCCUGAGAUUCUCUCUCUCUCUUACUUAAUGAUGUAA